GUGGGGAAUCUUCCGCAAUGGACGAAAGUCUGACGGAGCGACGCCGCGUGAGUGAAGAAGGCCUUCGGGUCGUAAAGCUCUGUCAUCGGGGACGAAUGGUCGAUGGAGUGGAAAGCCAUUGAAAUGACGGUACCCGAGAAGGAAGCCACGGCUAACUACGUGCCAGCAGCCGCGGUAAUACGUAGGUGGCAAGCGUUGUCCGGAAUUAUUGGGCGUAAAGCGCGCGCAGGUGGGAUCUUAAGUCUAUUUUGAAAGUUCGGAGCUUAACUCCGUGAUGGGAUAGAAACUGGGAUUCUUGAGUACCGGAGAGGAAAGCGGAAUUCCCCGUGUAGCGGUGAAAUGCGUAGAUAUGGGGAGGAACACCAGUGGCGAAGGCGGCUUUCUGGACGGUGUCUGACACUGAGGCGCGAAAGCCAGGGGAGCGAACGGGAUUAGAUACCCGGGUAGUCC
rnacentral:rRNA from 1 species